GACGAACGCUGGCGGCGUGCUUAACACAUGCAAGUCGAACGGUGAAGCGCUUUCCUUUUUGGUUGGUGUGGAUGAGUGGCGAACGGGUGAGUAACACGUGAGUAACCUGCCCCCUUCUUCUGGAUAACCGCAUGAAAGUGUGGCUAAUACGGGAUAUUCUGCGCCUGCUGCAUGGUGGGUGUGGGAAAGAUUGUGCCUUUGGGUGUUUUCGGUGGGGGAUAGGCUCGCGGCCUAUCAGCUUGUUGGUGGGGUGAUGGCCUACCAAGGCGGUGACGGGUAGCCGGCCUGAGAGGGUGGACGGUCACACUGGGACUGAGACACGGCCCAGACUCCUACGGGAGGCAGCAGUGGGGAAUAUUGCACAAUGGGCGCAAGCCUGAUGCAGCGACGCCGCGUGAGGGAUGGAGGCCUUCGGGUUGUGAACCUCUUUCGCCAGUGAAGCAGGCCUGCUCCUUGUGGGUGGGUUGACGGUAGCUGGAUAAGAAGCGCCGGCUAACUACGUG
rnacentral:rRNA from 1 species